UUGGAGAGAAGUGUGGCGCGGCCCGCCUUGCUUCUUUCUUUGGCCCCACCCUCCCAACGCGCUUGGGCUACUUGCCGGGAAGAGCCCCUCCUUCGCCUUCAGUUGCUCGGGCGGGAGGGCGGGAGACGGCUGGUUGUCUUGCGUGCAGUUGAGGGAACAUCCUUCCCCCUCCUCCCCGGCUGCCACGCGACGGCAAAGGCGCGCGCCCCCACAGCUCCUGGGGAACGAUGCAGUUUAUGUUGCUUUUUAGUCGUCAGGGGAAGUUAAGACUUCAGAAGUGGUAUGUCCCAUUGUCUGACAAAGAAAAGAAGAAAAUAACAAGAGAACUUGUUCAAACAGUCUUAGCCCGUAAACCGAAAAUGUGCAGCUUUCUGGAAUGGAGAGACCUGAAGAUUGUCUACAAAAGAUAUGCAAGCCUCUACUUCUGUUGUGCCAUUGAAGAUCAGGAUAAUGAGCUAAUAACACUGGAAAUAAUUCAUCGUUAUGUAGAAUUGCUUGACAAAUAUUUUGGAAGUGUAUGUGAACUUGACAUCAUAUUCAAUUUUGAAAAGGCUUAUUUUAUUUUGGAUGAAUUUCUCUUGGGAGGAGAAGUUCAGGAAACUUCAAAGAAAAAUGUUCUUAAAGCCAUUGAACAGGCAGAUCUAUUACAGGAGAGCCAGAAUGAAGACUGGGGAGGUUUGUCUGAGGAUAUCUUAUGAUUAAGAGCAAUCUAAAGGCUUAGCGUUUUGAUCCCAUCCGUUCAAUUGCCACGUCAUGAAUACUUUAAUGUCCCAGUGUACUAAAUGACUUCAUUCAUCAUGCAUAAGAGAAGCGAUAAAGCUGACUUACUCAUGGCAGAACACUUGUCCUCAGCUUGGUGAAUCCAAUCAUCUUGAACAAAUUAGUGUAUAUCACACUGUUAUUUGUUUGCUGUUUGUAUAUUUUCCUGUCUUACCAUUUGCAGUGUCUGUGUUUUUCCUUUCAUUUGUCUUGUCUUGUCAACAUGCCAUAAUUUUCAUUUUAAAAUAUUUAAAUCUAUAGUUAGCACUUGACAUAGUAUGUAAUAUUCAAGCUGAAAUACUAUGUGGAGCUUAGUUUUACAAUUUAAAUACUGGAAUCCUUUGGUACAGUAUUUGUCAAACUGGAUAUAAAUGUGAUAUUUGUAGGUGCUAAAUAGAUAUGCACUGACUUUUUCUUAGGCACAUUAAACAAAAAGUGUUUAAAACACAUGGCUUAUAGACAGAACAUAAUUUAAAAACCCUUGAAAAUUACUUUUUUAAAAAAACACCCCAUAUUUUACAAAGUAAUAUUCAGUACUUGAUGUUUGUAUAAAAAUUUAAAAAAUAGAUGCUCUGGUUUUGCAUUUUUAAAAGCUUCAGUACACACAGUACUCUCUAGUGUUUGAAAGUGCACAGCUUUCCCAUUCACUGCAAUGUUGGAGUUGCUUUCCAGGCCUACUAAUAGUCCCAAUCAUUGCAUGUAUAAGGAGACAUCCACAGAAAUGUAUAUUUCUAGAGUUUCUAGAAAGGAUAAACCUUAGCCCAAGGAUAAACAGUGAAAGAAAGGGUUAUUUUGUGUAGGGAAAUUAUUAAUGUAUGCAGUAGCUAUGUUUCUUUAAAAGUUAAAUAAAUAAAUAUAAUAUAAAUAAACUCUAUUUAUAACCCACCCUAUCUCCCCAAGUGGACUCAAGGCGGUUUCCAAACAACAGUGGAAAACAUUCAGUGCCAUAAUAAUGAAACCAAAUUGAGACAAUACAUAAAACAACUUCAGUAAAAACUUAUAACUAGCCUGAAAAUAAGUAAACAUAAGUAAUUAAAUAAAACAUAAUAAAUCUAAUCAGACACAUUUACACCAUAAUAAAAUCUAAACAACUAAAAUGCAUAAAAUUAUAAAAUAAUUUAUAGCAGCCUUAACCAUUUUAAGUUGAUUAAAAUAAUAGGGAAUAAGGGUUAGCUCAAUCAAUUAUAUGCAAUAUAAAAUUUGAGUUAAGUGGUAUUGAGUGAUAUCAAGAUAUAUAUCAAAACCCUUUCAACAGUGAGGCAUUUAACACAUUGAUUCUACAACAUUCCUACAUUUAUAGCAAAUAAAUUAUAGGAAAUGUCUGUCUUAUCAAUUUUGAUUUUUUUUUAAAUGGUAUUGCUUCUAUGAAUGUAUCUGGUUGUGCUGCAUUACAUACCCUCAAUCUUUGAAGUGCUGUGCAUGGAAUGCUAAUGAGCUGUUGUGGCCUGUUACAGUUUUAUACUCUUGCAUGCUUGCAAAUUAUUGUGAAUUAGCUUUCCUGGCAUGUCUUUAAUAAAGUAUUGCAUGCAUUUCUCAUGUGAAUGGCUUUUUUUUCCUCCCAUCUCUUCUGCUGUGAUAUAUUUCCUCUUUGUGCAGUUUAGUAAUUUUGCUCAGGAGAAUUAAUCUGUGAAACACUUGACUACACUGUACAAAUUAUUCCUAAAGUAUUUCCUGAGUUACAUAUUUCCAAACAGCCGCUCACAUUUGUUUGUACACAUGGGAGUUGCUACAAAUAUAUAUUUAAAUUUCUCUGAAUAACAUCUAUGAUACUCAGUAUUGUUUGUAGAAUGUUUUUGCUCAUAAUGUAUAUUUGUUAAAAACUGAAACAUUUUCAGAUAUCUAGAAGUAGACAAAAUUAAUAAGCUUUUGUCUAUUAGUGUGUCUACAUUACUUGGUUUUAUAGGAUCUGUUCUGUUAUCCAGAAGAGCAUUAGCCUCCUUGUGAAUAGAGGGCAACCUUUGUGGUGCCAGGGGUUGGACAAGUGUUAGAAUGCAGCAGACUUUAGCAGUUCUUUCACACAAACACACUCCUUUUACUGCAUAGGGACUCAGAAAGGUGCAACAUUUAGGUACAUUUUUAAAGGGGAGGGGGAAAUGAAAUAGUAGAAAUAGUCCAUUUAUAUUAUAUACUGUAUAUUGCAGUUCAGUUAUUAACAAAUAAAUAUCAGUUUUCAAUAGAUUAUUACUUGGAAAGAUGUACUUGCUUCCUAAAAAGUAACUUUUCCAUGCAUUAUUAUUAAGUAAAAUCCCUCCCGUUUAAACUUUAUUAAGUGUUACGAAAUUAUAUAUACUGUAUAUCCAAUUUUCAUAUACUUCCAAAACUAUUGGCAUUUUUUCCACAAGCACAAACUAAUCAUUUGUUCUUUUUCCUGUGAUUUGUGGCUGAAUUUUGGCAGAGUUUUUCAAUUUUAAUUUUGUUUUUAGGGUGCUCGGUAGGUCACAUGUAGCUCGCAGAAUGUUCUUCUCCCACAGUGCUAGAGACCUACUGGCACAGAAGGAGCCCUGGACUUGCUUUACCUGUUUAACAGUGAACUGUUGCAAUGGAUCCACAAGUGGGAAUCUGCUGCUGCCUGGCUGGAUCCAUCUGUGGGUAGCCUCAUAAGUUGCAAGGGUGGUGCUUUUCCUAGUAUAGAUCUUCCUAUUAGUAAACAUCUUUCCGCACAAAUCAUUUAGCUGGAUUAGAGUGCCAAAGGGAAAGAUAGGUUUCUUGGGUUUAAGGUUCUUGACAAUACAUUUAUCAACACGGUCUGGCUUCAGUGACAAGACUGAACAUCACCUGUGUUUUGUACUGAAACCAGUGCACUUAUUUUAAAUACCGUGUUUCCCCGAAAAUAAGACAGUGUCUUAUAUUAAUUUUUGCUCCCGAAGAUGUGCUAGGUCUUAUUUUCAGGGGAUGUCUUAUUUUUCCAUGAAAAAUUCACAUUUAUUGUUGAACAAAAAAAAUGAAUUUAUUAUAUACUGUACAGUAGUUGUCAUCACAAACCAGCAUAAUCAGACAAACUGUGCAUCCUGUCAAGAAUUUGUUACUACCAAUAUUUUCAUGUACAACACUCUAUGGUACGUACAUUUACCAAUCCUGCAUGCUUUGGUGUUCUGUUUGGCGGGCAUGCUUCCAAACAAAAACUUUGCUAGGUCUUACUUUCGGGGGCGGCCUUAUAUUUAGCAAUUCAUCAAAACCUCUGCUAGGUCUUAUUUUCUGGAAAUGUCUUAUUUUAGGGGAAACAGGGUAGAAGAUUUUAAAACACAACAUCUGAAAUUUUAUGAGCACUUUCUGUUUCUCUGUGGGAACUCUAUAAUUCAAAAUGUAUGUUUAUGCAUAUCCUUAACACUUCCUUUUCUUAGGCAUUAUUGCUAAAUUCUGAUUCUCUCUUUUUUUGGCUAUGCCUUAUUUAGGAUGCUAAAGAAGCGGAGACUCCUCGUAGUGUACUUGAAGAAAUUGGACUGACAUAAACCUUCUUGUUUGCCGAUGUCUUACAUGGUGUUUCAUAUACCUGUAAAUGUUCACUGCCUCCAUUUAAUGUUAGCUAAUGGUGUUAUGAUGCUAUUUGUCAGUAUUACUGUUCUGCUGAGCUACUUCAUUCAGACCUACAAGAAAAAUUCCAUUUACUGUUAAGUUGAAAAAGGGAGCAUACUUUUUUAGGGAAAAAAAUAAAAAGGGAUUUAAACUACAGUAAUUUAGAAUGAAUCCAUAAAUUAAAAUGAACCAUACAUGGUAAUUUAUGUGAUAUUUUAUAAACAUUACUUUACCAUCAUGUAAUGUGUCAGGUACCAUACAUUAUGCCAUAUACUAAAAAAAAGUUACAUAUGGCAAAUAGGUGAAAUUCAGUUAACAUAGAACUUGGCUUUGUGUAACCAAAGAUUCUUAUUCUACAGUCAGACUCUUGUUAUACAUUUGUUAAAACUCAGUUUAGGUUAUUACAUAAGAUUGCGGGGAAAUAACUUUAUGGCUAUUUCAUUUAUACCAAAGAAUCCUGCUAAGGUCAGUAAAGUCAAACUGUUGUGAAUUGCCAUUGUAACUUCAUUUCUAAUAACUGAAUUGUAAAGGAUUUCAUUAGAAAUUCUAAUGAAUGAUAUCACAGUGAGAUUUUAAAUUGAAUCAGAAAAUGGAGUUAAUGCAUUACAAAAGGAAAAAGGCUGAGAUCAUAUGAAAUUUCUUUUGUAAGCAACAAGCUUUCUUUUUAAUACUAAAUUGAAAUGCUUCCUUAAUUGCAUACUUGGUCUUUUUGAAAGUAUAAAGGAGAAUCAAUUCAAAACACAUUGAGCUACAGUGAUAUAAUCUCAAAGGGAAACAUGUAAAAAGAUGAUUUUCCCAAGCACCUGUUCUUAACUUUUUUACCAGUAUACGUUUGAACUAGAACUCAAGCAGCUGCUUGUAGUUUGAAAAUAUGUAGUUACACAUCAGUUUUCAUCUCACCUCUCACAAUGUUAGAUUUCAUUAAAAUACAUUUCUUUACAUAAUAGAAACAAGCCUUAAAAUGGGAACUUAGUUUAAAUCACUGCCAUGUUUUCACAAGACACAAAAAGGCUGCAAGUGUAUGCACAUUUCACUUGGUAGUAAGUCCCAAUAACAGGGCUUGCUUCCAAAUAAAUAUGCAUAGGUUCAGGCUGCAGAGGUAUCACAAAGCCAUACUCUAUUUACUCCGAUGUGUGUUUUUGCUGUUAUAUCCUGUAUCCUACUGCUAAAAAAGCUUCAGUACAGAGCACAUGCUGUGAAAAGCAGUGUAACUCCCCCCUCCACAUGUGUAAUAUCUUGUGUGUUCUCACUUGGCUACUUCACCAAUAAUGUAACUACUUGCUGUGAUUGGUGUGAUUCAAAGCAUCCAAAUGCUUUACUUUAAACAGUACCACAGAUCUGAAGUAAUCAUGUCUGCUUAGGGUACACAGGAGUUGUGUUCACCCUGGGGAAACAUGGACUCCUGAAUAUGACCUCUUGUGUGACACUGAAGUGACAUAAUUAUUUGGCAUUUUUAAAUGUCAACCGAAAAGCAACUUUUGUAUGUAUUCAAACCAUGUUUAAAGUUUACACCGUUGCCUUGUAUGUGCUUGGUUGGAAAAGCUUUGUGACUGUGACAUGCACAAUGUGGACACUGUCUUAGUAUCACACUGGUUUAGUUGUAAUAAAUGUCCAUUUCUACUCCA